ACCCUUUAAUGUUUGAUGUUCUAACGUGGACCCGUAAUCCGGGUUGCGGACAGUGUCUGGUGGGUAGUUUGACUGGGGCGGUCUCCUCCUAAAGAGUAACGGAGGAGCACGAAGGUUGGCUAAUCCUGGUCGGACAUCAGGAGGUUAGUGCAAUGGCAUAAGCCAGCUUGACUGCGAGCGUGACGGCGCGAGCAGGUGCGAAAGCAGGUCAUAGUGAUCCGGUGGUUCUGAAUGGAAGGGCCAUCGCUCAACGGAUAAAAGGUACUCCGGGGAUAACAGGCUGAUACCGCCCAAGAGUUCAUAUCGACGGCGGUGUUUGGCACCUCGAUGUCGGCUCAUCACAUCCUGGGGCUGAAGUAGGUCCCAAGGGUAUGGCUGUUCGCCAUUUAAAGUGGUACGCGAGCUGGGUUUAGAACGUCGUGAGACAGUUCGGUCCCUAUCUGCCGUGGGCGCUGGAGAACUGAGGGGGGCUGCUCCUAGUACGAGAGGACCGGAGUGGACGCAUCACUGGUGUUCGGGUUGUCAUGCCAAUGGCACUGCCCGGUAGCUAAAUGCGGAAGAGAUAAGUGCUGAAAGCAUCUAAGCACGAAACUUG
rnacentral:rRNA from 1 species